rnacentral:lncRNA from 1 species
UUGGUGAGAGUAGGCAUUGAUGACAUUGUUCCAUGAGACCACGUCCUUGUUGGGAGUGGCCUCGAACACAAGCUUGGCUGUGGGUAAGUCUCCACAUUUGACGUAGAGGUUGACGAGGCUGUUGGCGACAUAGACGGAAGAAGAGGACCCGGUUUUGAUGAUGUGGGCGUGGACAGCUUUGCCGUUUUGGAGGUGUUUUUGACGACUGUAGUGGAUGAGGGUUGUGAUUAAGGAUCGGAAGUGAAAAGGAAGGGAUGAAAGAUUCAUAAAACAAACCAAGAGUGGGAUUUGUUAGACAUUAAGUUCUUGUUCGGCCUUUUUCACGUGUUGGGUCUUUGUUUCUGAGCAUGAAUUAGCAAUGUUCAGAAUAACAAGCUUAGAAUUCUAAUGUUGUUGGGGUCGGUGUGUGAGAGCUGAGAAGAGAGGAUGAAGCAAAUAAAUUACCAGUUAGAGAGUAAUUUGGUAAAAGA